UCGAACGGUAACAGCAGAGCUUGCUCUGGCUGACGAGUGGCGGACGGGUGAGUAACGCGUAGGAAUCUACCCAGUAGCGGGGGAUAGCCCGGAGAAAUCCGGAUUAAUACCGCAUACGCCUUUCGGGGGAAAGGCCGGGAUCUUCGGACCGGUCACUAUUGGAUGAGCCUGCGUCGGAUUAGCUAGUUGGUGGGGUAAAGGCCCACCAAGGCGACGAUCCGUAGCUGGUCUGAGAGGAUGAUCAGCCACACUGGAACUGAGACACGGUCCAGACUCCUACGGGAGGCAGCAGUGGGGAAUAUUGCACAAUGGGCGCAAGCCUGAUGCAGCCAUGCCGCGUGUGUGAAGAAGGCUUUCGGGUUGUAAAGCACUUUCAGAAGGGAGGAAGGCCUGGUGGUUAAUAGCUAUCAGGAUUGACGUUACCUUCAGAAGAAGCACCGGCUAACUCCGUGCCAGCAGCCGCGGUAAUACGGAGGGUGCAAGCGUUAAUCGGAAUUACUGGGCGUAAAGCGCGCGUAGGCGGUUUGGUCAGUUGGAUGUGAAAGCCCCGGGCUUAACCUGGGAACUGCAUUCAAUACUGCCAAGCUAGAGUGUGAGAGAGGAGGGUAGAAUUUCUAGUGUAGCGGUGAAAUGCGUAGAUAUUAGAAGGAAUACCAGUGGCGAAGGCGGCCCUCUGGCUUAACACUGACGCUGAGGUGCGAAAGCGUGGGUAGCGAACAGGAUUAGAUACCCUGGUAGUCCACGCCGUAAACGAUGUCAACUAGCCGUUGGUGGGCUUGACCCAUUAGUGGCGCAGCUAACGCACUAAGUUGACCGCCUGGGGAGUACGGCCGCAAGGUUAAAACUCAAAUGAAUUGACGGGGGCCCGCNCAAGCGGUGGAGCAUGUGGUUUAAUUCGAUGCAACGCGAA
rnacentral:rRNA from 1 species